CGGUAAUACGUAGGGUGCGAGCGUUAAUCGGAAUUACUGGGCGUAAAGCGUGCGCAGGCGGAUUGUUAAGCAAGAUGCAGGAUCCCCGGGCUUAACCUGGGAAUGGCAUUUUGAACUGGCAGUCUAGAGUGUGUCAGAGGGGGGUGGAAUUCCACGUGUAGCAGUGAAAUGCGUAGAGAUGUGGAGGAACACCGAUGGCGAAGGCAGCCCCCUGGGAUAACACUGACGCUCAUGUACGAAAGCGUGGGUAGCAAACAGGAUUAGAUACCCUGGUAGUCCACGCCCUAAACGAUGUCAACUGGUUGUUGAGGGAGUGAAAUCCCUUAGCAACGAAGCUAACGCGUGAAGUUGACCGCCUGGGGAGUACGGUCGCAAGAUUAAA
rnacentral:rRNA from 1 species